UACGUAGGGCGCAAGCGUUGUCCGGAAUUAUUGGGCGUAAAGAGCUCGUAGGCGGCCUGUUGCGUCCGCUGUGAAAUCCCGGGGCUCAACCCCGGGCCUGCAGUGGAUACGGGCUGGCUAGAGGCAGGCAGGGGAGAACGGAAUUCCUGGUGUAGCGGUGAAAUGCGCAGAUAUCAGGAGGAACACCGAUGGCGAAGGCAGCCCCCUGGGCCAACACUGACGCUCAGGCACGAAAGCGUGGGGAGCAAACAGG
rnacentral:rRNA from 1 species